AGGCUCCCUGGCGCAGGAGAUACGUGAUCACGAAGGCGGUUUUCAAAGGGCAAGGUUCCCCAUUGCACUCCGGUGGCGCUGACCCUUGCGAAUAACCCAGGUGGGAUUAACUCGAGUGCGAAAUUCUUGGUAGCGGGGGACAGCGUUCGCUAGUGACGCUAGUGACUCCAA